rnacentral:rRNA from 1 species
GACGCUGGCGGCGUGCCUAACACAUGCAAGUCGAACGGUAACAGGGACUUCGGUCUGCUGACGAGUGGCGCACGGGUGAGUAACGCGUGGAUAUCUGCCUAUUAGUGGGGGACAACUACGGGAAACCGUAGCUAAUACCGCAUAAUCUCUACGGAGGAAAGCAGGGGACCUUUCGGGGCCUUGCGCUGAUAGAUGAGUCCGCGUCAGAUUAGCUAGUUGGUAAGGUAAUGGCUUACCAAGGCGAUGAUCUGUAACUGGUUUGAGAGGAUGAUCAGUCACACUGGAACUGAGACACGGUCCAGACUCCUACGGGAGGCAGCAGUGGGGAAUAUUGCACAAUGGGCGAAAGCCUGAUGCAGCGACGCCGCGUGCGGGAAGAAGGCCUUCGGGUUGUAAACCGCUUUCAAUUGGGAAGAAGAGAUGAGUACUAAUAUUGCUCUGAUUUGACGGUACCUUUAGAAGAAGCACCGGCUAAUUUCGUGCCAGCAGCCGCGGUAAUACGAAAGGUGCAAGCGUUGUUCGGAUUUACUGGGCGUAAAGAGAUCGUAGGUGGUUUGUUAAGUCGGAUGUGAAAUCCCGGGGCUCAACCCCGGAACUGCAUUCGAUACUGGCAGGCUAGAGUUUGGGAGGGGUAAGCGGAAUUCCGUGUGUAGCAGUGAAAUGCGUAGAUAUACGGAGGAACACCUGAGGCGAAGGCGGCUUACUGGACCAAUACUGACACUGAGGAUCGAAAGCGUGGGUAGCAAACAGGAUUAGAUACCCUGGUAGUCCACGCCCUAAACGAUGUCAACUAGCCGUAGCGGGUAUCGACCCCUGCUGUGGCGAAGCUAACGCGAUAAGUUGACCGCCUGGGGAGUACGGUCG